GCAUGUCGAACGAAGCACUUGUGCUUAGUGGCGGACGGGUGAGUAACGCGUGGGAAUCUGCCCUCAGGAGGGGGAUAACGGCUGGAAACGGCCGCUAAUACCCCAUAUGCCGAGAGGUGAAAUGAAUUUCGCCUGAGGAUGAGCCCGCGUCUGAUUAGCUAGUUGGUGGGGUAAGGGCCUACCAAGGCAUCGAUCAGUAGCUGGUCUGAGAGGAUGAUC
rnacentral:rRNA from 1 species